rnacentral:rRNA from 1 species
CGACCUACCUCAGAGUGGGGGAUAACAUUCCGAAAGGAGUGCUAAUACCGCAUGACAUCCUUCGUUUAGAUACGAGGUGAUCAAAGCCGGGGAUCGCAAGACCUGGCGCUUGGAGAGGGGCCCGCGUCCGAUUAGCUAGUUGGUGAGGUAACGGCUCACCAAGGCUCCGAUCGGUAUCCGGCCUGAGAGGGCGGACGGACACACUGGGACUGAGACACGGCCCAG